AUACGUAGGGGGCGAGCGUUGUCCGGAAUUACUGGGCGUAAAGGGUGCGUAGGCGGCAUGUUAAGUUGGAUGUGAAAUCCCCGGGCUUAACCUGGGGGGUGCAUUCAAAACUGGCAAGCUAGAGUGCAGGAGAGGGAAGCGGAAUUCCUAGUGUAGCGGUGAAAUGCGUAGAUAUUAGGAGGAACACCAGUGGCGAAGGCGGCUUACUGGACUGUAACUGACGCUGAGUCACGAAAGCGUGGGUAGC
rnacentral:rRNA from 1 species